rnacentral:rRNA from 1 species
AGUUGUGACCAUACUGGCUUGUCAAAGUGUGAUCUUGUCAGAUCUUUGAAGCUAAUCAAGGCCAGGUCUGGUUAGUACUUGGAUGAGAGAAUAUCAGGUGCCACAGUGG